UGUCACGACUUGUAGGAGCGUCACGA
rnacentral:sRNA from 1 species